UGGCUCAGAACGAACGCUGGUAGCGUGGAUUAGGCAUGCAAGUCGGACGGGAUCCGGGAGGUAGCAAUACGUCCUGGUGAGAGUGGCGGAUUGGGGAGGAACACGUGAGCAACCUGCCUUUGAGUCGGGGAAAACCGUUGGAAACGACGGCUAAUACCGGAUGUGGCGCCCGGUGACAUCACUGGAGCGCUAAAGGGGGCCGCAAGGCUCUCGCUCGUAGAGGGGCUCGCGCACCAUCAGCUUGUUGGCGGGUAACGGCCCACCAAGGCCUACGGUUAGCUGGUCUGAGAGGAUGACCAGCCCCACUGGGACUGAGAUACUGCCCAGACUCCUACGGGAGGCUGCAGUCGAGGAUCAUUUGCAAUGGGCGAAAGCCUGACAAUGCGACGCUGCGUGGAGGAAUGAAGGCCUUCGGGUUGUAAACUCCUGUCAUGGGGGAACAGGCGAGGGGACCCAACACGUCCCUUAGUUGAGUGUACCCCAAGAGGAAGCGACGGCUAACUCUGUGCCAGCAGCUGC
rnacentral:rRNA from 1 species